AUAUAGGGAAAUCUUCCUUUAAACAAGUAUAAAUAACUCUUAAGGAAUGAAUGCCAGAUAGUUUUCUCUUUAAAUGAUACACAUUGU
rnacentral:pre_miRNA from 1 species